rnacentral:rRNA from 1 species
UGGGGAAUAUUGCACAAUGGAGGGAACUCUGAUGCAGCGACGCCGCGUGAGUGAUGAAGGAAUUCGUUUCGUAAAACUCUGUUCUAUGGGAAGAAAAGGACUGUACCAUAGGAGAAAGCUCCGGCUAAAUACGUGGCAGCAGCCGCGGUAAUACGUAUGGAGCGAGCGUUGUCCGGAAUUAUUGGGCGUAAAGGGUGCGCAGGCGGCUUUACAAGUUGGAUGUGAAAUAUUGUGGCUCAACCACAAACGUGCAUCCAAAACUGCAAAGCUUGAGUUAAGGAGAGGUAAGUGGAAUUCCUCGUGUAGCGGUGGCAUGCGUAGAUAUCAGGAGGAAUACCGGUGUCUAAGGCGACUUACUGGCCUUUAACUGACGCUCAGGCACGAAAGCGUGGGGAGCAAACAGU